GGAAAGGUCAAGGCCCCCAAUAACAUUAAACCAAGUUCUACCAAAAGCCCAAAGUCCGUCUCAGAGGGGAUUGACUGUAUUCUGUAAUGGUUACUUGCUUAGAAUCUGGAGAGUUACCACACAACCAGAGGUGGGAUUUGAACUUAUUCUGUCCUGGUUCCUGAGACUUAUUUUUUGUCCAAUAACCUGCCAAAUUUUUCCUUUUUGUUUAAAAUAGAGAUAUGCUUGUAUUCAUUAACUUGGAUAAUAGCAAUGCUUUUAAAAAAAAAUUUGCUGUUUUAAAAGAAGAUGCCUCAAAUCCAACUAUCUAUUAUGUACAGCUAUACAUUAAAAUAACUUAAAUGAAAUUUAUAGCAUUAAUUUUUAUCUUUAAGUAGCUUUAGCAUGUCUUUGUUAAUUUUAGACCCCCUUCUACAGAGAAAACAGUUCAAGUCUAUUUUAUUUUAUUUUAUUAAGCUUUUUGUUUACAAGACAUAUGCAUGGGUGAUUUUUCAACAAUGACCCUUGCAAAACCUUCAAUUGCAACUUUUCCCCUUCCCCCCACCCCCUCCCCUAGAUGGCAGGCAAUCCAAUACAUGUUAAAUAUGUUAAAGUAUACGUUAAAUACAACAUAUGUAUAUAUAUUUAUACAGUUACCUUGCCACUCAAUAAAAACUGGAUUUAGAAAGAAGUUGAAAAUAACCUGAGAAUGAAAACAAAAAUGCAGGCAGACAAUAACAGAAAGAAUGGAAAUGCUAUGUUGUGGUCCACAUUUAUUUCCCAUAGUUCUUUCGCUGGGUGUAGCUGAUUUUCUUCAUUACUGAACAAUUGGAACUGAUUUGGAUCAUCUCAUUGUUGAAGAGGGCCACGUCCAUCAGAAUUGAUCAUCAUAUAAUAUUGUUGUUGAAGUGUAUAAUGAUCUCCUGGUUCUGCUCAUUUCACUCAGCAUCAGUUCAUGUAAGUCUCUCCAGGCCUCUCUGAGAUCAUCCUGCUGGUCAUUUCUUACAGAACAAUAAUAUUCGAUAACAAUAAUAUACCACAAUUUAUUCAGUUAUUCUCCAGUUGAUGGGCAUCCAUUCAACUUCCAGUUUCUAGCCAUACAAAAAAGGCUGUCACAAACAUUUUUGCACAUAUGGGUCCCUUUCCCUUCUUUAGUAUCUCUUUGGGAUAUAAGCCCAGUAGUAACACUGCUGGAUCGAAGGGUAUGCAGUUUGAUAACUUUUUGGACAUAGUUCCAUAUUGCUCUCCAGAAUGGAAUCCAAGUCUAUUUUAAACUUGAAUAAAAGUUAUUUUAUAAAACUCACUGGAUUGUGGUAUUACAAUUUUUUUUUUCCUACUUGGUCUCAUGAACAUUUUUUCUUUGGGGAUUAGAUUAAUUUACAAAAUCUAUUCCAACACAGGGUAUAAAUAAUAUGCAAAAACACAAUUGUCAUGACAAACCACCUUACUUCUGUUGAAAAGGAUACUAUGCUGCAAUAUUACAUUUUUGCAAAUAUGGGUCCCUUUCCAUUCUUUAAGAUCUCUUUGGGAUAUAAGCCCAAUAGUAACAUGGCUGGCUCAAAGGGUAUGCACACUUUAAUAACUUUUUGGACAUAGUUCCAAAUUGCUCUCCAGAAUGUAAUCCAAGUUUAUUUUAAACUUGAAUAAAAGUUAUUUUAUAAAACUCA